AGAACGAACGCUGGCGGCAGGCUUAACACAUGCAAGUCGAGCGCCCCGCAAGGGAGCGGNCAGACGGGUGAGUAACGCGUGGGAAUCUACCCAUCUCUACGGAAUAACGCAUGGAAACGUGUGCUAAUACCGUAUACGUCCUUCGGGAGAAAGAUUUAUCGGAGAUGGAUGAGCCCGCGUUGGAUUAGCUAGUUGGUGGGGUAAAGGCCUACCAAGGCGACGAUCCAUAGCUGGUCUGAGAGGAUGAUCAGCCGCACUGGGACUGAGACACGGCCCAGACUCCUACGGGAGGCAGCAGUGGGGAAUAUUGGACAAUGGGCGCAAGCCUGUAUCCAGCCAUGCCGCGUGUGUGAUGAAGGCCCUAGGGCUGUAAAGCACUUUCACCGGAGAAGAUAAUGACGGUAUCCGGAGAAGAAGCCCCGGCUAACUUCGUGCCAGCAGCCGCGGUAUACGAAGGGGGCUAGCGUUGUUCGGAUUUACUGGGCGUAAAGCGCACGUAGGCGGACUAUUAAGUCAGGGGUGAAAUCCCGGGGCUCAACCCCGGAACUGCCUUUGAUACUGGUGGUCUUGAGUUCGAGAGAGGUGAGUGGAAUUCCGAGUGUAGAGGUGAAAUUCGUAGAUAUUCGGAGGAACACCAGUGGCGAAGGCGGCUCACUGGCUCGAUACUGACGCUAAGGUGCGAAAGCGUGGGGAGCAAACAGGAU
rnacentral:rRNA from 1 species